rnacentral:rRNA from 1 species
UACGUAGGUGGCAAGCGUUGUCCGGAUUUACUGGGCGUAAAGGGCGUGCAGGCGGUUUGUUAAGUGCAGGGUGAAAGCUCCCGGCUCAACUGGGAGAGGUCCUUGCAUACUGGCGAACUCGAGGGAGGCAGAGGAGAGUGGAAUUCCCGGUGUAGUGGUGAUAUGCGUAGAUAUCGGGAGGAACACCGGUGGCGAAGGCGGCAUCCUGGACCGAGAUUGACGCUGAUGCGCGAAAGCCAGGGGGAGCAAACGGG